GAUAAUAAAAUUGAGAAUGGAAAUGGGGAAUGUGUCAAAGAGACAACAACCCGCCCAAAUAAAAAACAACAGCAGAGGGUCACCAACAGGUCUUCAAUGUAGCGAGAAAUUCCCGCACCCGGAGGAGUCCUUCAGCUGGCCCCUAAACAAAUAUAUACUAGUCCAGUGAUAAUGAACGCCAUACUAAUUUCCAAAUUGUACACAAGAAACUAAAAUUAAAAUAAUACAAGACUAACAAAGGCCAGAGGCUCCUGACUUGGGACAGGCGCAAAAAUGCGGCGGGGUUAAACAUGUUUGUGAGAUCUCAACCCUCCCCCUAUACCUCUAACCAAUGUACUAAAGUAAACGCAUAACAAUACGCACAUUAAAAUUCAGUUCAAGAGAAAUCCGAGUCUGAUGUCAGAAGAUGUAACCAAAGAAAAUAAACAAAAUGACAAUAAUACAUAAAUAACAACAGACUACUAGCAGUUAACUGACAUGCCAGCUC
rnacentral:lncRNA from 1 species